GACGAACGCUGGCGGCGUGCUUAACACAUGCAAGUCGAACGAAGAGCGAUGGAAGCUUGCUUCUAUCAAUCUUAGUGGCGAACGGGUGAGUAACGCGUAAUCAACCUGCCCUUCAGAGGGGGACAACAGUUGGAAACGACUGCUAAUACCGCAUACGAUCUAACCUCGGCAUCGAGGAUAGAUGAAAGGUGGCCUCUACAUGUAAGCUAUCACUGAAGGAGGGGAUUGCGUCUGAUUAGCUAGUUGGAGGGGUAACGGCCCACCAAGGCGAUGAUCAGUAGCCGGUCUGAGAGGAUGAACGGCCACAUUGGGACUGAGACACGGCCCAGACUCCUACGGGAGGCAGCAGUGGGGAAUCUUCCGCAAUGGACGAAAGUCUGACGGAGCAACGCCGCGUGAGUGAUGACGGCCUUCGGGUUGUAAAGCUCUGUUAAUCGGGACGAAAGGCCUUCUUGCGAAUAGUGAGAAGGAUUGACGGUACCGGAAUAGAAAGCC
rnacentral:rRNA from 1 species